GAAAAGGCCAGUGUCUUCCUCACAGUAAAUGUACUAGGUGGUACCCCAGUGGUCUCUGUUGCUGAAGCAAGAGGAGGAGGAAGUCAGGUGAACGUUACCUGUUCAUCAGAGGGAUGGUCACCACAACCUACACUCACCUGGAGAAACAAAGAGGGGACAGAGAUCAGAAAUGGACAAGAAGUACUCAACACUCCAGAUCCUCAGGGCUUGGUGAGUGUGAGUAGUUGGCUGCUGUAUUCUCCCUCAGACUCCGAUUGGCUCUCCUGUACAGUCUCUCUGUCUGAGGAGGUGAAGAAGGAGAGUAGAA